rnacentral:rRNA from 1 species
AAUCCUGGCGGCGAGUGGAGAACGGGUGAGUAAUACAUCGGAACGUGCUCAAUCGUGGGGGAUAACGCAGCGAAAGCUGUGCUAAUACCGCAUACGAUCUACGGAUGAAAGCAGGGGAUCGCAAGACCUUGCGCGAAUGGAGCGGCCGAUGGCAGAUUAGGUAGUUGGUGAGGUAAAGGCUCACCAAGCCUUCGAUCUGUAGCUGGUCUGAGAGGACGACCAGCCACACUGGGACUGAGACACGGCCCAGACUCCUACGGGAGGCAGCAGUGGGGAAUUUUGGACAAUGGGCGAAAGCUUGAUCCAGCCAUGCCGCGUGCAGGAUGAAGGCCUUCGGGUUGUAAACUGCUUUUGUACGGAACGAAACGGCCUUUUCUAAUAAAGAGGGCUAAUGACGGUACCGUAAGAAUAAGCACCGGCUAACUACGUGCCAGCAGCCGCGGUA